rnacentral:rRNA from 1 species
UACGUAGGGGGCAAGCAUUGUCCGGAUUUAUUGGGCGUAAAGAGCGUGUAGGCGGCCAGAUAGGUCGGUUGUGAAAACUGGAGGCUCAACCUCCAGAGGUCGACCGAAACCAUUUGGCUAGAGUCCGGAAGAGGAGAGUGGAAUUCCUGGUGUAGCGGUGAAAUGCGCAGAUAUCAGGAGGAACACCGGUGGCGAAGGCGGGUCUCUGGGCCGAUACUGACGCUGAGAAGCGAAAGCGUGGGGAGCGAACAGG